CAGCAACCCACCGAGGGACGAGGAAACUGAGCAUAGCAAUGACCAUAGAGGACCUGCAGGGUCCCAAGAGGGACACUUGUGUCACUCAGCUGCCAUUCCACCUGGAACAAACUGCCCUCCGGGACCCUCAGGUCCAUGUCUACAGGGGCACUAGUAGCAACUGCUCCAUGAACCCAAUCCUCAACAGUAUGCUGAACAUCUAUCUCCCCUGUGCUCAGAACCAGAAUGCCCAAGGUGGUGAAGACCUUUGGGACAACACAAAAGUAAUGGAUCCCUCCACUUCCCCCUCCCCCAGGGCUUGCACCCCAACACCUGUGACCAUGGUAAAAAGGACAUGUGGGGAAGACUGACCCAGAAGCAGAGCACAGCCCUCCAGUCCAGUGACAGCUCCCUCCUCUCAGGGGCGUAGGACCCACCUCUGUUUUCCAAAGCUGGAAGCUGGACCAGCUGCAUCCUGAUGCCAGAGGCGCGGUCCCAGCCACAGGAAUGGAGGUCACAGGCUGACUCCCAGGCACUGCUGGGCACAGGAAAAUGUCCCAGACAGAGAGGGAAACCCUGUAAAAUUGCAGCCAUGUUGCUUUCUAGGCUUCUGCAGUAGGCCUGUGGGUGCGGCUGCGUAUCUGUGUAGCUGUGGGGGUGGGGGCUGCCUGGAGUCUCUGAGUGUGCAUAUGUCUUUGAAUAUAUAUUUGUGGGCGUGUCGGUGAA
rnacentral:lncRNA from 1 species